rnacentral:rRNA from 1 species
UACGUAGGCAGCAAGCGUUGUUCGGAGUUACUGGGCGUAAAGGGUGUGUAGGCGGUUGCUUAAGUUUGGUGUGAAAUCUCCCGGCUCAACUGGGAGGGUGCGCCGAAUACUGAGUGACUCGAGUGCGGGAGAGGAAAGUGGAAUUCCUGGUGUAGCGGUGAAAUGCGCAGAUAUCAGGAGGAACACCAGUGGCGAAGGCGACUACCUGGCCUGUUCUUGACGCUGAGGCGCGAAAGCUAGGGGAGCAAACGGG